rnacentral:rRNA from 1 species
AUGGCAAGGCAGGAGAUGUCGAGAGGAAUUUUCCUCCUGGAUAUUGCAGACACUACGUGCCAUUGCCCAUUACAAAUCUGCCUAGGAGUGCAUGGGAAAAUGUUUACAUUUAAGCAACCUCAGUUGCAGAUUUUUUAUAUUUGUUCACUCAGGAGGCCAUUAGUCUAUACCAGCGAUGGAGACAGCUUCCCUUUUCACUACUGUAGAACAUAUGAAGGGUAUAUUCCAGUCAUAAUGGAGAUGCUUGUGAUAAGUUUGGUACCUUCCUCUGCUACAUCUUUUGGUGUUAUGGGCCGUUCCUAG